rnacentral:ncRNA from 1 species
UGAUUCAGGAUUAAAAUGGGAACUCCUGUGAAAAUCAGGGACUAUCCCCGUAGCUGUAAGUUCUAUUCAAAGGUUGUACAUUCGGAAGCCACUGCCGGUAUGUCCGGUGGGAAGGCGUACAAUCGGAACAAGUCAGAAGACCUGCCUGAGUACUUU